GUGGGGAAUAUUGGACAAUGGGCGAAAGCCUGAUCCAGCCAUGCCGCGUGUGUGAAGAAGGUCUUCGGAUUGUAAAGCACUUUAAGUUGGGAGGAAGGGCAUUAACCUAAUACGUUAGUGUUUUGACGUUACCAACAGAAUAAGCACCGGCUAACUUCGUGCCAGCAGCCGCGGUAAUACGAAGGGUGCAAGCGUUAAUCGGAAUUACUGGGCGUAAAGCGCGCGUAGGUGGUUCAGCAAGUUGAAGGUGAAAUCCCCGGGCUCAACCUGGGAACUGCCUCCAAAACUACUGAGCUAGAGUACGGUAGAGGGUAGUGGAAUUUCCUGUGUAGCGGUGAAAUGCGUAGAUAUAGGAAGGAACACCAGUGGCGAAGGCGACUACCUGGACUGAUACUGACACUGAGGUGCGAAAGCGUGGGGAGCAAACAGGAUUAGAAACCCUGGUAGUCC
rnacentral:rRNA from 1 species